CCCUUAGAUGUUCUGGGCCGCACGCGCGCUACACUGAGCCCUUCAUUGAGUUUACAACCUUGGCCGGUAGGUCUGGGUAAUCUUCUCAAAGGGGCUCGUGCUGGGGAUAGAUUAUUGUAAUUUUUAAUCUUCAACGAGGAAUUCCUAGUAAACGCAAGUCAACAGCUUGCAUUGAUUACGUCCCUGCCCUUUGUACACACCGCCCGUCGCUACUACCGAUUGAAUGGCUUAGUGAGCCCGAGGGACUGUUGCACCUAGAGGGUUUUCUCUCCAGGAGCAGCCGGGAACUCGGUCAAACUUGAUCAUUUAGAGGAAGUAAAAGUCGUAACA
rnacentral:rRNA from 1 species